AUUGUUUUCUUUCAUGUGUAUCCCUUGGGGUGUGGUUCUUAUGAGCACUUAUUUGGAGGUUUAUGGAGUCCUCCUAGAGUUUGAGAAAUUUUAAUGAGAAUUGGUUUGACAGAAACGGGAGGAGGGGCCAUUAGGACAAUUUUUACGUAGAAGAGAUCUCGGGCAGACUGGAACCUAUGGACCAAAACUGGGGCAAGAGUUCAGUAGCUUUGUUGUUGUUGUUCUGGAACUCUUUAUGUCGUGAAAUAGCUAGGAAAAUUGCAUUGGUGCACUUUGUAUAAUUUGGGGUCCUCAGACCGAGACAAUAUUGUAAAAAAACGCGCCUUAAGGUUUGCAUCGUUUGUAUUAAGGUUGUUCCUUAUUUCUAAUGAACAUGCUUUAGAGGUGUUUUUAUAGAUGUGCUCCUGCUUCUAUCUACUGAUCAAAUGACUUUCUAUUUCGUUGUUUUCUGCCAAUAUAUUAUUCAGUAGUUACUGAUAAGAAUAAGAUAAGCCAGCCGUGAGUGUGAAGUAGCAAGAUAGUUUGAAAAUUCAGAAUCUUCAUUGCAAGUACACGAACUGGUGUUUUUUGCCCACACAUUGCUCAAUGAUAAUUUAUACCAUGUCUUUAAUUUACUAGAUUAACUGCACACCUGAACGCAGCACUAAUGGAAAGAUUCAGCAUCUUGGUCGGCUGCUCACGGUGGGGCUUGUGGUUGGUGGUUGCGGCAGUGGCAGAGCAGUGUCCGAGAGCGCGGCGCAAGCAGUGGCCCCUGCUAUGUGGGCUGAUGGGAGCACACCGUCCAAGCAGCACUUCAAGUCUGACAAUGUCCCCUCUACACCAAGGUAGGUGGGCACUCGUGCAAAGAUCUAACAUCUUCACCGACUAGGACUAAGGUAUAUGUUUUCUUCUGCCCGUGUGAUGUGGUGAUAAUUUGUUAUGCAUAUGUUUGUAGAUGUUAGUCAGUAUUUGGGAGAUAUGAGGUAGUUUGCUAGAUAAGAAUAGAACAAGAACAAGAAGGAGCUUUAGUUGGGCCAUGUCAUUGUGAACUUGGAGCACAGAAAUUUAUAGGAGGUUGUUGUCGUAAAACUAGGUGCUUAAGAUCUGCGGAACUAUAACAUUUUUUGAGUCUAAGUAAAACAAAUUUACUUUCUGGGUCUAACUAUGUUAAUAAUUUCUUGCGUGAAUAGAUGGGCCAAGCCGAGCAGGCCAUCACCAACCUAUUCGUGCUUUGGUUUAUUUUAUUUGAGUAUUUGUGUUCUUAAUCUUUGUUUUCACUGGUGUGUGCUCUGUCCUCUCAGGCUAGGUUUGAAUUUGUUGUCAUAGAAAAAAUAUUUUUAUCGCCUUUAAUACUAGAGGUGAUCCAGUUAUGUAUGCAAGACUAUGCAAGAUCCUACAAAAAAGUUGAACCGAAAAGUCUUAUUUUUUACUUCAUUAAGUUUCCUUAGUUAUGUGUCAAAAUGUUGGGAGAAUAAAGUUCAUGCUCUGUUCGCACACGGCGGAGACAACCAUGGCAAAGUCACCGAGGGGCAUCCGGAUAAAGUGAGACACUGCGUUGUAUAUAUAUGGCCAGAAUAUAUAACCAGGUCCUGUAUAAAAUGCACGAUGGGUAUUCUAUAUUUCACAUUCAUAAAUCUUCCAUGUAAAUUGUUCAUGCUAAUUAUAUGUAUUACUUGCAAACGAAGUGAAAGACAACAUUCCUGACAUUGUACAAGAAUAUCUCAAGCGGCGUUGUACAUGAAUAUCUCGAGUACAUUAAAUAGAUCUUAGUUGGAAUAGAUACUUAUCAUUGCUCUCUUUGUAUACAUUGUUGAAUUACAUGUGAAAUUUGAGUAACGAGACACAUAUUUAUUAUUUGGAUGCGGUUUUUCACUUUCCUGAGUUGUAUACAUUAUAUUUAUAUGUUCAAUCAACAAAGAAAAAAAGCCCGUGGCAACGCACAGGUGUUCUACUAGACAAGACAAAAUUUAAUGUGCGCAUGUACAUUAUUAUUCUUCUUACCAUCCAAUUUUUAGGAAGGAAUGAGCCCGGAGCUCGACACCCCAUCCAAUGGGCUUAAGUCUUAAGAAACUUCAGUGCAUACUUAACAUGGAGCAGCCUAUGGACAAUGAUUGCUUCAACACCGUCGUGCGUAUACUGGCAUGUGACGAGGGAGUAUUGUUCAUAGACCCUCCUAUAUACACUACAUGGAUCUAAGAUUUUGUUCCAAGAUGCUAGAGUCAACACGAGUCAGAAGUUUUGCGAGAAGGAAACUAUCCAGACGUUGGCGACAUCAUUUGAUAGCUGGCCUGGGAUGGACAACGACAUCUCAUCGUGCAACAUGGAUGGGUAUGAGUUGAGGAAACGGUUUUUAUUAUACUUGCUAAAACAUCAUGGGAAUGAAGCUAAAGACAACUUUCUUGAUAUUGUGAAAGAAUUUCUUAAAUGCAUCAUCUAGAUAUGGAUAGUUUUGUAAUAAAUGUUUAGUUGAAACAUCACUUAGUUUGUUACAUGGACAUGUCGUUAAUCUUUCUUUUUGUUAUCAAUUUACAUUGCAAAAAUGGGCUUCAAUUAUUUAAUAAUUGUGUUUGUGUUA